UACGUAGGGGGCAAGCGUUGUCCGGAAUCAUUGGGCGUAAAGCGCGCGUAGGUGGCCCCAUAAGUCCGCUGUGAAAGUCAAAGGCUCAACCUUUGAAAGCCGGUGGAUACUGUGGGACUAGAGUACGGAAGAGGCGAGUGGAAUUCCUGGUGUAGCGGUGGAAUGCGCAGAUAUCAGGAGGAACACCAAUGGCGAAGGCAGCUCGCUGGGACGGUACUGACGCUGAGACGCGAAAGCGUGGGGAGCAAACAGG
rnacentral:rRNA from 1 species